UAAGAUGCGACAGCAUAUCAUUUAUUAAAUCUUUUAUUUCUGUAUGUUUACUGAUUUGUUUACGAAUUACCAAAAUAUAACGCCCGAUUCGUAGAGUAAAUAUUUUAAGCUAGUUGCUGCAUUAAGAACUAUUUGGAUUUUGUGUUCUAUCUUUGAAGAUAACUCAAUAUGGUCCUGUACGUCACCGCCUAGAGUUGCUAACGGAUUCGUUUCCUAUGAUUCGCUUUCCGGUGGACCUUCAUGGACCGGUGAUGUGACGUAUAACUGUUUCCGGUUUUAUGGUCUGGUUGGGUCUAACAAAUUAACGUGCAUUGGUGGGAAUUGGCAAGGAACUAUGCCUAUUUGUGAAUAUGAAAGAGAUACGGAAAUUCUAUUUUGGUUUCUGAUUGCCGUAGUUGUUGUUUUGUUACUGGUGCUGGUUAUGCUAAUACUAUUUGUCUGUUGCUACUUCGGCAGAUGCUGCGGGUCUGGAAAAGGGAAGUAAUCGUUAUAUAUCUCAUGCCUGGAAAAGGGAAGUAAUUAGAGUUUGAUGAUGUUUAGUGGGAUGAAAACAAAUUAACACUUUCAGAUUCCUCUAUGUAUGAAUUAGACUCUUAGAAAACCAAUUGUUAUUACACUAACUUUUAAGUCUAUAUUUUGCGUUUUUGGAGAGGUCUUUACCUUGGAGCAGCACGCCUCCAGUUUGUAAUAUUUUUUACUACAUCUUUUAGAUGAGUAAACUGUUUAUAAGAUUGUAAAAUUAAAAGUAAAGUAAAGUAAAAUCUUUACUUAAGACCAUAACCGAAAUUAAGAGCACCCCCUAUUUAGAACAAUUCUGUAAAAGAACGAAAUUUUCUGCUCUUAAAGUUAAUGGUAACAUGUUUAACAAUUAAUUAAGACUGCUUCACCUGUCGAUUUUUGAGACCACAAAUUCAGUCCCAAUGCCUUGUUUUAUUCUUUAUCUAACCGCUUUAUUGAGACCACUGAUAAUCCAUUCAACACCUAUGCAGAUCACAAGUUUGUUGUUACUCAUUUGCUUGAAUUGUAAAACCGUUAUGAUUGGAAAACUGUAUAAAGUAAGGUGAGAAAAUAAACUAUAGAGUGGUUUAAUGUUACUUUAUGCACAUUCAGUUUGUGAAGAAUAAAUUUCUUAUUUAUCCAUAGAAAGAACUUGUAAUUUCUCAAAAAUAUAGUGCAUGACGUAAUUUCGUUUACCCUGUUAGUAAUGGAGUAGAAUUUUCACCUAAAGUUUUAGCUUAUUCUUGAGUAUUCAAAAUAUUUUUAAAUA